ACAGCGCAUAGCCUCGUGCUCCUUUGUGGGUACGAGGGGUUCUGCGUUCGGGAGAGGUCUUGAANNCGGCCCGCGCCGUCUAAGUUGUGCAUGAAUGACUCUAAUACCCAUGGAGGGUGUUAGGCCCGUGUGGCGGUCGUAAUUGGAUACUAGUAGCGCGAAGGCGUGAAGGUCGGGACUGUGGAAUGGGCCUCUCUCUAGAGUCGGGUUGCUUGAAACCGCAACCUAAAGCAGGUGGUAAACUCCAUCUAAGGCUAAAUAUGACCACGAGACCGAUAGCGAACAAGUACCGUGAGGGAAAGUUGAAACAGAACCCUGUAGAGAGAGUUCAAGAGAACGUGAAACCGUUAAGAGGAUAAACGGGUGGAGAUUCGAAGAUCGAAACGGUAUUAGGGAAUUCAGCUUGUACGUCAGUCGGGAGAGGGCGGUGUCUUAGUGACUCCCGGGUGUUGUUGUGGCUCGUCUGCGGCAAUGCUUGUGGUGGCGCGGCCCGUUCUUCUACUCGGCGACGCCUGGCGAUAUUUCCCCCGGAGUAGGUCACCGCGAAGCGUUGGGAGGGUGUCUGAGGCCCGGACGGUAGGAACCUGCGCCCUGUGUCCCGGCUAUUCCAAACUCUCGUAAGAGAGGGCUGGUUCGUUUUGGGCGUUUGGGGAUCCGCCGGCGUUUGCCUUUCGGUGGAUUAUACACAUCAAAGUGGCCCCGAGUAGGUACCUCGUCUUGCUCUACCCGACGCUKCCUCCUUUGGGUGACUAGUCGCAGCUUGCUGCUUCUGUCACUCUCGCGGUGUGCAAAGAGUCGAGACUCUACCCGACCCGUCUUGAAACACGGACCAAGGAGUCCAACAUGUAUGCAAGUCAAUGGGUGCACUAAACCCACAGGCGCAAUGAAAGUGAUUAUCACUAGGUGGUGUGUCUAGCUGGGAUCUUCCUCUUAGAUCAAACCCACGCUAGCACCUAYCAGAGGACCGAUCCCUCGGUGCCGUUUAAGACUUUGGGUCGCCAAGUCACUUGUCUCCCGGACUGAGUCGAGCUACAACCUUCCUCACUGGGAUAGAUCAUUAUGACGAUGGGCCUACUGGUCCGGUAUACCGCAACGCCUCUUGCGCUGACGCUUCGGCUGAGGUGCAUGCAGGGGGGCGCAGGUCCGGGACUCGCCAUGACGAACAGUAAGCUUAGCCUGCYUCGGGCUGCGUGCUUGAGGGUAGUUGGCUGGGUGCCUCGUGUACUCAUGUCUUGCUGCUKUUCAACACGUAUGUUUUCAGGGGUAGUGCGGCUGCUGGAUGUGUCGGCGAGUACCUUGAGCAUAAAUGUUGGUACCCGAAAGAUAGUGAACUAUGCCUGGCCAGGAUGAAGCCAGGGGAAACCCUGGUGGAGGUCCGUAGCGAUUCUGACGUGCAAAUCGAUCGUCAGAGCUGGGUAUAGGGGCGAAAGACCAAUCGAACUAUCUAGUAGCUGGUUCCCUCCGAAGUUUCCCUCAGGAUAGCUGGCACUCAUACAACGAGUUUCAUCCGGUAAAGCGAAUGAUUAGGGGUGUUGGGGACGAAAUGUCCUCAGCCUAUUCUCAAACUUUAAAUGGGUGAGGUGCCGUGCUUGCUUUAACUUAACUGUGAAGCCACGGACACGAAUCGGAGUGCUUAGUGGGCCAAUUUUGGUAAGCAGAACUGGCGCUGUGGGAUGAACCAAACGUUGAGUUAAGGGGCCUAAAUGAAUGCUAAUUCCGAUACCAUGGAAGGGAGUUGCUUGCUAUAGACAGCAGGACGGUGGCCAUGGAAGUUGGAAUCCGCUAAGGAGUGUGUAACAACUCACCUGCCGAAGCAAGUAACCCUGAAAAUGGCAUGGCGCUCAAGCAUUCUCCCGAUACUCGACCGCCGGUGGCACUAAAGACUACUAAAGGAGGUCUCGAGGCCCCGGUGAGUAGGAGGGCGCGGUGGUGUGCGUAGAAGGAUUCGCCGUGAGGGGGUCUGGAGCCGCCACUGGUGCAGAUCUUGGUGGUAGUAGCAAAUAUUCGAGCGAGAUCACCCUCGUUGACCGACGCGGAGAAGGGUUCCACGCCAACAUCGCUUGGUCGUGGGUUAGUCGGUCCUAAGCCCAGGGAUAGCAUCCCGAUUUACUAGGUGUACUGGCUUUCCUGUCCCAAGCAAAAUUUUAGAUAGAAUAGAUCUUUGAUAUGCUUAAUGGACACUGCUGCUAAUGUAUUGAAGGGAGUU
rnacentral:rRNA from 1 species